rnacentral:rRNA from 1 species
ACGCUGGCGGCAGGCCUAACACAUGCAAGUCGAGCGGUAGCACAGAGAGCUUGCUCUCGGGUGACGAGCGGCGGACGGGUGAGUAAUGUCUGGGAAACUGCCUGAUGGAGGGGGAUAACUACUGGAAACGGUAGCUAAUACCGCAUAACGUCUUCGGACCAAAGUGGGGGACCUUCGGGCCUCAUGCCAUCAGUUGUGCCCAGAUGGGAUUAGCUAGCAGGUGAGGUAAUGGCUCACCUGGGCGACGAUCCCUAGCUGGUCUGAGAGGAUGACCAGCCACACUGGAACUGAGACACGGUCCAGACUCCUACGGGAGGCAGCAGUGGGGAAUAUUGCACAAUGGGCGCAAGCCUGAUGCAGCCAUGCCGCGUGUAUGAAGAAGGCCUUCGGGUUGUAAAGUACUUUCAGCGGGGAGGAAGGCGAUAAGGUUAAUAACCUUGUUGAUUGACGUUACCCGCAGAAGAAGCACCGGCUAACUCCGUGCAGCAGCCGCGGUAAUACGGAGGGUGCAAGCGUUAAUCGGAAUUACUGGGCGUAAAGCGCACGCAGGCGGUCUGUCAAGUCGGAUGUGAAAUCCCCGGGCUCAACCUGGGAACUGCAUUCGAAACUGGCAGGCUAGAGUCUUGUAGAGGGGGGUAGAAUUCCAGGUGUAGCGGUGAAAUGCGUAGAGAUCUGGAGGAAUACCGGUGGCGAAGGCGGCCCCCUGGACAAAGACUGACGCUCAGGUGCGAAAGCGUGGGGAGCAAAC